AUGAACGCUGGCGGCGUGCCUAAUACAUGCAAGUCGAGCGGUAAGGCUCUGCACAGUUUACUGGACAGCCAGGGGUCGUGACUUCGAAGAAGUCACAUCGUUUAACGAAAGAAGAACGUAUGGCCAGCACCAACUUACAGGCUAGUAAGAAGGGUCAAGUAAAGUGUGUAGAGUACACGAGCGGCGGACGGCUGAGUAACGCGUAGGAACGUACCCCAAACUGAGGGAUAAGCACCAGAAAUGGUGUCUAAUACCGCAUGUGGCCCUCGGGCUAAAGCUACGGGCGGUUUGGGGAACGGCCUGCGUUCGAUUAGCUAGUUGGUGAGGGUAAUGGCUCACCAAGGCGACGAUCGAUAGCUGGUCUGAGAGGAUGAUCAGCCAGACUGGGACUGAGAACGGCCCAGACUCCUACGGGAGGCAGCAGUAGGGAAUUUUCCACAAUGGGGGCGAACCCUGAUGGAGCAACGCCGCGUGCAGGAUGAAGGUCUUCGGAUUGUAAACUGCUUUUGUUAGCGACGAAUAUGACGGUAGCUAACGAAUAAGGAUCGGGCUAACUCCGUGCCAGCAGCCGCGGUCAUACGGAGGAUCCAAGCGUUAUCCGGAAUUACUGGGGCGUAAAGAAGUUGCGUAGGUGGCAUGGUAAGCGAGUAGUGAAAGCGUUCGGCUCAACCGAAUAUCCAUUACUUGAACUGCCAAGCUAGAGGAUGAGAGAGGUAGAUGGAAUUCCUAGUGUAGGGGUAAUAUCCGUUGAUAUUAGGAGGAACACCGAUGGCGAAAGCAGUCUACUGGCUCAUUUCUGACACUAAGGCACGGAAAGCGUGGGGAGCAAACGGGAUUAGAUACCCCCGGUAGUCCACGCCGUAAACGAUGGAUGCUAGCUGUUAUCGGUAUCGACCCCGGUAGUAGCGAAGCUAACGCGUUAAAGCAUCCCGCCUGUGGAGUACGUGUCGCAAGACUAAAACAUAAAGGAAUUGACGGGGACCCCGCACAAGCGGUGGAGCGUGUUGUUUAAUUCGAUGGUAAACGAAGAACCUUACCCAGGUUUGACAUCCUUGGAAUUGUUCCGAAAGGAACGAGUGCCGUAAGGAACCAAGUGACAGGUGAUGCAUGGCCGUCGUCAGCUCGUGUCGUGAGACGUUAGGUUAAGUCCUUUAACGAGCUGCAACCCUUAUAGUUAGUUGAAUGUCUAGCUAGACUGACUGGCCCUGGUAACAGGGGAGGAAGGAGGGGAUGAGGUCAGGGUCCGUAUCUCCCUUACAUCUGGGGCUACAAACACGCUACAAUGGCCGGUACAAAGGGCUGCCAAGUCGCGAGACGGAGCAAAUCCCAUCAAAGCCGGUCCCAGUUCAGAUUGUAGGCUGAAACUCGCCUGCAUGAAGCCGGAAUCGCUAGUAAUGGUAGGUCAGCUAUACUACCGUGAAUACGUUCCCGGGUCUUGUACACACCGCCCGUCAAACCAUGAAAGUCACCAAUACCUGACGUGCUCGCUUGCCGAGUCCUAAGGUAGGGGGGAUGAUUGGGGUU
rnacentral:rRNA from 1 species